GAAAAGGCCUUUUGAAGGCCACCGAUUAUUUUUAAUAAGGGUUAU
rfam:Cuculus canorus isolate BGI_N303 unplaced genomic scaffold scaffold34, whole genome shotgun sequence.